rnacentral:rRNA from 1 species
UACGUAGGCAGCAAGCGUUGUUCGGAAUUACUGGGUGUAAAGGGUUCGUAGGCGGUGUGGCAAGUCGGGAGUGAAAUUUCUGGGCUUAACCCAGAAGCUGCUUCCGAAACUGCUGUGCUAGAGUGCGGGAGAGGCGCGUGGAAUUGCAGGUGUAGCGGUGAAAUGCGUAGAUAUCUGCAGGAACACCCGUGGCGAAAGCGGCGCGCUGGACCGUUACUGACGCUGAGGAACGAAAGCUAGGGGAGCAAACAGG